rnacentral:lncRNA from 1 species
GGGCUCUGUCAACACUGCUGCCACAGGUGUGUUUUGCUCACAACACUGACAAUGAGAAGCUGUAGCCAAAUAUUAGCUUGACUGUGGGGUAUCAAAGGGCCACAUGCUUGGAAACUUACAGUUAUCCUGGCAGGAGAAAGAAAAAUACGGUGCUCAGACCAAAGCCCUCCCAAAUCUUAUACACGCAGAGCGUGCUGGAGCGGCUUAUCUCUGUUCCACAGUUGGGAACCAAGCCCCAGUGGGACGAAACAACUCACCCAGGGCCUUACAGAACAUCCAGAGGAGCUAGGGAUGAGCUGAGUUCCUUUUGGCAAGUUUUCAGCACUGUUUUAACAAGCCGUGAUCAAAUUCUGAAGUGUCAUGAGGGCAGGGCAGGCUCAUGGCUCUGGGAGCAGGGCUGUCUGCUGACCUCCUUACACAGCUGCCUAUGAAAGUCCAGUCACUAUACUAUGGAACAGUUCAGUUAGCUCUAGCUUCUCUAAAACAGAGUAGAAAACCAUGAAGGGUGUUCCAUCCUUCUUCAGCCUUAGAGUUCACUCUAAGCCUGAAGAAAAGGCAGCCAGAGAAAUGCAGUCCCCCGUGUGGGACUAAAAUCUUCCUUUAGCAGAUAGUAACAGAGGGGUAAGCUUCUGAAUGGUGCUUUGCUGGAGGAAGAAAGUGGAACGUUAUUUCUUGAAUCUUAAAUGCACACACACACAUUUCUUAUAGGGUUUUACACAGAAGAGCAAUACUGGCCUAUUCACACUUCGCUGCUGGAAGCUGCUUGUCUCACUAUUCAUUGCAGUGUUGUUUGGCACCCCGAGUCAUGGCUGCAGUUAGAGCUGCCCAGCAUUCUCUCAUGGAGAAAAGUUGCACUUGAGUUUCUGCAAAGCAGAAAAUCUUAAUACUUCCUCCCUGAACUUUCUCCCUCUCUAGGGGAUCUGAUAUUGUAGAGGGGCCCCAGGACCAUGGGUGCUUUCGUGGGGCUCAAACUGCUUUCAGGAGUCUCAGGGGGACCAAUUUCCUUCUUCGUUUGGAAAGAUCAGUAGAAUAGUAAAUACUUCUGUUCUUAGAUUUUUAUGUGUAGCAGAUGUUACUUGAUAGUUGUAAAGAUGAAUGUGGGACCAUCUCUGAUCAAUGUGCUUUCUGCUUAGUACCAGAACACAGCACUUCUUGUCCAAGGACUGAGAUCCAUCACAUUGUCAGGGAAGUUACUCUAUUAAAUGUCUUGUGACACAUCUUUCACCUCUGCCUCUUCAUUCCCACCUCUGCCUACAACAAUCUAACCAUAGCAAACAGUAGAUUGUGAGAUCAGAGUAUUUAGAUUUUUAUUUUUCUGAUCGCAUGUUCUUUUUUUCUUUUCUGCUGAUCAUCUGGACACUAACAACUGCCCUUGACUCUCUGCUCGUAAAAGGUGUGAGUUCAUGCUUGUUGUGCUGUUGUUGUUGUAAGGGUGAAUAGGAGGCUGUGAAAGCUGCUGAGAUUUUGGUGUAUUUAUAAUAAACAUUAUUU